rnacentral:rRNA from 1 species
GUGUCAGCAGCCGCGGUAAUACGUAGGGGGCAAGCGUUAUCCGGAUUUAUUGGGCGUAAAGAGCUCGUAGGCGGCUGAUCGCGUCGGUUGUGAAAGCUCAGGGCUCAACCCUGAGACGCCAAUCGAUACGGAUCGGCUAGAGGUAGGUAGGGGAAAGUGGAAUUCCUGGUGUAGCGGUGAAAUGCGCAGAUAUCAGGAGGAACACCGGUGGCGAAGGCGGCUUUCUGGGCCUUACCUGACGCUGAGGAGCGAAAGCUGGGGGAGCAAACAGGAUUAGAAACCCCGGUAGUCC